AUGAAGAUAUGGAGGAAGCAUAAGGAAUAGUGAAACACGUAGUCCUCGCAAAGUUCAAUGACGACAUUGCCCCAGAGCGGAUUGAAGAGCUCAUCAAGAGUUUUGCCGAUCUAGUCAAUCUCAUUCCAUUGUGACUUGAUUAAAACAUUUCAAAGCAAUAUAUGAAUUAUGUACUAUAGGGGCAAGGAUGUAAGUGCUGAAAACAUGCAUCAAGGCUUCACUCAUGUGUUUGAAUCAGCCUUUGAGAGUACAGAAGGCCUUGCAGAGUAUGUAGCUCAUCCUGCCCAUGUUGAAUAUGCAAAUUUGCUCCUUCCUUGCCUGGAGAAAAUCGUUGCGAUUGACUACAAGCCUACCAUCGUUAACCUUUGAUUGGAGAAGUAAUGCCUCGUUCAUUGCUAGUGCUCUGAUAAAAACAAAUAUGGUUUCCACUCAAUAUUUGUAUGCACUAUAAAUUAUGCUCCCUCUUAUCAUACAUUGUUAUUCUCUGUUAUCUUGAUCUUGGCAAUCCUGAAAACCUUCUUG